AAAGCAACUGAUACUAUAUUCCCUAGCAUAGGGUCAUGUUUGGAGUAAAAGAGGUUUGGCGACCAAUUAGGGUAGGGUUAUGGGCUAGAAAGCACUAUAAAAAGAGGAAUCCAAAUAGAAGGUUGAAACCCAAGAGACAUAUUCAUUAGAACAGCAACCUCAACUAGUUGGUAAUGGAUUAAGCAUUCGUAGUGCUUAUAUCUCAUAAUUAAAGCAUAUAUUGCUUGCCUACGCUCCAGAGAAGGAUAGUAUUAGUUUUUUGCGAUAUAAUGUUGCUAGAACU
rnacentral:lncRNA from 1 species